UUUCAAGGUUACCAGUCAUUAGACAUUGACGAAACCGGCGAAUAAUUUUCCUACACGUUCUUUCCAUUCUUGUAUCUUAACUGUCAAUAUUGAAAAACUAAGGUGCGUAGAAUUUGGUAGACAAUUUUAUGAACGAUUCCCUAAACUCCAGCAAAAGAAGGUUGUUGUUUCAGUUGACGUUUACCCCUUAUAAAAGUUCGGUAUUUUUAAAAGUUUACGUUUAACGGUUAAAUAUUAUGUCAAUUAUGAGUUAUAAGCAUCGAUCGUAUUGGACAUCUCCUUUUUCAUUUGAAAUGGUAUUAUACGGUUUUAUAAGUACAUCAUAGCUAUGAACCAAAGACAUACAUGUAGAUCAUAGACAUGUGAUCAGUCACUGUCAUGUAAAAUUGACAAAAUUUUUUUUUGUCGAAAAGUUACCGGCCGUGUUCACUCGAGAUGAUGUAUUUCAAGUAGCUAAAUCGAAAACUUAAAAAAAAACAACUGUCCUACCAUUCAUUGUGUUUUCACUGUAAAACAGGUUGGGAACGUUUAACAAACCCCCUGUAUUGUGAUUAUACCUGUAUAAAGGGAUAAUCCUUCUUUAGAGGGAUAAAAUUAUUGCACUGGACUUAAAGCAAAUUAGGGCAGAAUGGCAUUUUCUAGUUAUAUUGGCUAUAAUCUCUAGCAUUGUAUGCAUCAACAUAUGCACUUUACUAAAAAUUGGGAUAACCAGUAUUCUGCUAAAGUUACAAAACUUGCAAUCUAUUGUAUACCUAUCUGAACACCUGAUCAACAACAAAAGGAAUAGUUGACCUUUAAAUUUCAUGUUAAAUCUAACAAUUUACAUCCCAGCUCCUUUGUUCUAACAGGGGUGAUCUGAGCCGGAUCACCCCUACCAGAUCACCCCAGUUUGAGUGUCUUUGUUAUGCAUGCUUUCCUUUGUUCUGAAACAUUUUGGCGGGAAGGACACAUCCACUGUAAAACUUAUGAUUAAUUAUACAGAAAAGACUAUGUAUCAAAAUUCACGUAGAAAAAAUCCAGUGUAUAUGCUUGGAUUCGAACUCAAGACCUUUAGCAUAUCAAGCCACGACACAUACCACUACACCAGGAAGACUGGAUAUAAACGAACAGUAAUUAAACAUACUUAACGGAAGCAAGAUCUUUUGAUAAAUGGGUCGAGUUGGCAGACCUUUAUUCAAUGGGGUUUAAACCUUUUUCAUUAAUAAGUGAGAUAUCAGACUGAUUGUUCAAUUUGAUUUUACACUUUUUUAAAAGUAGGGAGAGUCGGUAAACAAGAGUGUGACGAUUUUUUUAUAUAGUGGCGAUAUAGUGUGGGCCGAUUGGCAAGUGGGGCGAGUUGACAUUGUUUUAUAACUACUCAUCGUGUUCGGGGGUCACAAAGGGUAUUCAUCAUAUAGUAAUAUCUAAAGUAUAUUAUAAUGGUUGUGUGGCGUUCUAACUAAACUAGAUUUUAUGAAUUGUAAAUGGUUUUUCAUCUAAUCUAAAACAGCUGGGAUGUAAAAUAGUUAUCCCACUUGGACUUAGUGUGUCAGUGUUAGAUCACCCUCUGGCCUCCGGCCAUUGGGGUGAUCUUACACUGACACACCGCGUCAUCGUGGGAUAACUAUUAAAGAAAUUCUGUUCAGUGAGGCAUAAGUGAGUAGAAUUUACCUGAUCAUCACAGCUUUCAAUCAUGGUGAACAAUAGAUUUUAUAUUUUAAUAGUCAGAUAAGCAUCAAACUGGGCAUGUGCAUAUUAAAUUAAGUACACCAAUUGGUGCAUCAACUGUUCCAGGUUACUGCCAUAAUAAGUAGAGAAUGCCAUUCUGCCCUAUUGUGUUUUAAAUCCAGUCUAAACAACAAUACCCCUCUUUAGAGGAGAUAAUUUUACCCCUCUAUAGAAGGAUUAUCCCUCUAUACAGGUAUAAUCACCAUAUAGAGGGUUUGUUCCCAACCUGUAAAAUGGAUAUUAAACCUGACCUUCACAUAAUCCAAAAUUAUUUUCAAUGGUGGAAUCUGAUAUUGUAAGUGUUGCUGUGGAGUUUCACAUAGCGUUUUCUAGGGUUACUCAGAUCUUUUCAUCAAUUUUAUUGUUUCCAUACUAAAAAGCGUGGGAAACUGUAUCACAUCAAUGACAAGGAUAUUACCAUAGAGUAUCAAAUGUUGAAAUAAAGGAUCCAACAUCGUAGAAACCAUUAUGGUGCACUUACAAUGAAAAACAAUCUUGGAAAAUGUGAAGGUACAUUGCACUAGGCAGACUGUUAAUCAGGGCCAAUGGAGCCUGAUUCUUUUGACAUAUUUGCAUCCAGCAUAAAAAAUCGCCUUAAAAGUCACAUACAUUUUCCUGAGACUUGUUUCAUAUGCUGUAGUUUGCAUAAGCAUAGGUUAAAUAAUUUUUAAAAAGUUGCUGAUACAUGGAAAUUUACUUAAUUUUUACCGUUCAUGCUUUCAUUCUUGGUUUUUUGUUCUAUUUUAAGAGGAACUAAUAGACUUGAUACAUGUUCCUUAGAUUUUUAAUUUUAAUGUUUCUUUUUUUUUUCAAUUUCACUUCUUUAACCCUUUCAACGCUAUACACAGCAUAUGCCGUCCUGCCACUGCUAUUUGCGCAUAUACCGCGAUGACAACAGAUUUUUCAUCAGGACUCUCCAAACAUUCGGUUUUCAUUCGGGUCCUCUCUAAUAUUUCCUUGUAUGAAUCAAGGAUAUACAAGGUCUCAUUUGCGCUUGAAAUCCGGCAAUUUUUAUUGUAAAAUCAUGCUGUAGAAGAAAAAUUGAAGGAAAAUAAAAACAAAUAUUUUGACAAAUUCAAAUGGCGGAAAUCGGAAACGAAGCUGCAAAUAUGGAAAUAUUUCAGCAUUUCUAUGGCGAAACUGACAACGAGGAUUAGUUAAAAGGUUUCUUAUUAUCUCAAUGUGUUUAUUACAUUUAAUUUGUGUGGGAAAUAUGAUUUGAUCGAUCAUUACAAGAUGUAGAAAAAGGGGGGAAAACGGAGGUUGACUGAAAAUUUUGAAGAAGGAGCCACUGAUUUGUGCCACGAUUACAUAAUACGUUGUGUAUUGUGCAAUACGCUACAGAAUCGAGCAAUUGGUGUCUUCUUUAUUAUAUGGCAGAUAAAACAACAAAAUAGAUGAAGACUAAAAGUAGUUUUUAUUAAAAAUUCAACACAAAUGUUAUAAAUUACACCUUUUACCUGUUAAUAACCUGAAAAUGCAGGUAACCUGAUAAAAAAUAUACUGAAAUAACUGCCUAACAUUACAGUUCAUACUCUCCUUAGCAUUUUUCAUGCAAUAACUUUCUCUGCAUCUCUUAUAAUAAAAAAGAUACAGCAGUCUGAAAAGGCAUAUACUGUUCUAAUGAAUGAACACAAAAACAAUGCAGCAGCAGCAGCCAUUUUUCUAUUUUUUUGUGUAGCGUUGAAAGGGUUAACAAUUUUAUUGCCAUAACUAAGAGCCUCCCUUUAUAUUGACUCAGACUUCAUUUUAACUGAGUCUUUCUAUGUUUAUUGCUAUGAAUUUCUCUAUUUUACAUUGGCUAUUGGUAUAGGGGAGGGUUGAGACAGACUACACGAAAUUCGUUGGACAGUCAGACAAAUCCUGUGAAUAAUGGAUCAGUCUGUCAAAAUUUUGUUGAAUUCCGGUCCGAAUGUCCGGUGUUGGGGUUUUUUCAUGGAUUUUUCUAACAUUCCAGCAAAAUUCCCAAAGAUCUCAAAAUUUAUUUUCUUCUUUAUUUUUCAUGACUGAUGUUUAUUUUUUUCAACCGCUAGCUUUAUGACGAAAAUGGCUUACAAGUAAUUGUGUAAAUCUGGGGGAAAAACAUAUCUGACUGACUUAAACAACAAUGGCUGCCAUCAUUGUCACAACUGGAAAUGUAGACAAUACCUGAUCAGAUUCCAGGAACAGAUAAGGCUUAUUCCCGGAUUUGCUGAUCAAAUACAAUAAAUAAAUAUUUAAAAAAAAACAAGCAGGUCACAAAAUUCAGCUAUGAAAUGUAAGCACUAGAAUUAAAGACCAAAAGAAACAAGAAAUAAUAUUCUCUACAGGAACUUUAAAUUAUGUUAAGAUAUGUCAAAUACAAUAAAAUGUGACAUUAAUACUUUUCUUUAUCACUGAAAUGCAUUCAAGCAAUUGUGCACAACUUUCAUAACAAUAUACCCUCUUGUCACAUUAUUUUGUUUUUGUGCAUAUUCAAAGAGGAGUAGGGAACAAUAAGUCAUAAGUUUGUUGUAUUUCGUUGGAUAGUAUACAUGUACAGUUAGAUGUAAAAAAAAAAAAUUGGUCUGGUAAAAUUUUAUUCAAUCUGGUAAAGCUAGGUUGUUUACCAGACCGAAUGUCCUGUAAAAAUAAAAUUCAUUUGUGUAGUCUGUUGAGAUCUCACUAAAUAUGGUUAACCCUGCCACAUUUUUGCACCUGUCUCAAGUCAGGAGCCUCUGGCUUUUUUAAUUUUUAAUGUUUUGGAGUUUAGUAUGACGUCCAUUUUCACCAUGUUACAUUUAAACUGUUUUGUCUUUAAUAUUACAAAUUAAUUUUAAAGUUUGGUUCAAGUAAUACGGGAAUCUUUCGACAUUUGAGAUAUCAAAUAACAGCAAAAUUCAAAGUUUGGUCUUGAUUUGAAAUGAAAUAAGCAAAUUUUAAUAUACAAUUUUAUUUAGUGGCCAGCUGAGGACCACCUCUGGGUGUGGGAUUUUCUCUCUGCGUUGAAGACCUAUUGGUGGCCUUCGUCUAUUAUCUGCUCAUUGGUCGGGUUGUUGACUCUUUUAAAUAUUCCCCAUUUCAAUUCUCAAUUUUACAUGCAGAUGGCAAUCAGUAUUCUGACAGUUUACAGUAAACAUGUAAAUUAGUAAGAAAGAUAUAAAAGAUAAGGAAUUAUAGCAAGUCUUUAGGAAACAAGAGUCUGCCAUUAUUCUGGUUCAGAUUUUGAUACUCUCUGUCUCAAUCAAUUAAAGUCAUAUUCUGCCUCAAUGUUAAUUUCUUACUGUCUGUCUGAUUUAUCAUAUAUAUCCUAAAAAUGUCCGAUGUAAAUUUUUCAAACAGUUUGUUUGGCAAUGAAUAUCCCUGAUUGCUGUUACUAAUAAUUGCAGUACAUGUACUUCUAAGCUUGUAAUUAAAGUCAAACCAAUGCAAAUCUGAUUUCUUCUUCAUAUGUUCUUCAUUUCUAGUUUUCCAAACACACAACUGGCAUGCCUUGAACAUUAAUUGGUCUAAUAAUAUUACAUGACUGUUAUACAAUAUAUUUAUAAGAAAUAUUGUAUUAAUAUUCCAAAUACAUUAAACGUUUAAUUUUAUCUUAGGAUGCAUAACUAUUUCCCCUGUCUCUCUCUUAUUGUAAAAUAUUGAUAACUGUUGUUAUGUUAUAUUAAUAUGUUGAUUUUAGCUUUUAAUCUAAAUUUCCAUCUAAAGAUAUCUUUUAAACAAAAAUAUAACCAAUUAAAAUUCUGGAUUUGGUGUUUCAAGCACAAAUUUAAUAAUCCAAGUACUUAUUAAUCAGUCCCAUACCAACAAAGUGGGUUUGCACUGUCUGUCUGUCUGUCUGUCUGUCUGUCUGUCUGUCUGUCUGUCUGUCUGUCUGUCUGUCUGUCUGUCUGUCUGUCUGUCUGUCUGUCUGUCUGUCUGUCUGUCUGUCUGUCUGUCUGUCUGUCUGUCUGUCUGUCUGUCUGUCUGUCUGUCUGUCUGUCUGUCUGUCUGUCUGUCUGUCUGUCUGUCUGUCUGUCUGUCUGUCUGUCUGUCUGUCUGUCUGUCUGUCUGUCUGUCUGUCUGUCUGUCUGUCUGUCUGUCUGUCUGUCUGUCUGUCUGUCUGUCUGUCUGUCUGUCUGUCUGUCUGUCUGUCUGUGUAUUAUUUAAGAAGUACUGGCCUGAUUGACCCCUGUUACUAAUUAUAAGAUGAAAGAAAUGGUUUAAUAACUAUUAACAUACAUGUAUGUAGUGAUUUUGAUAAAUAUUACUUUAAUCAAGAUGUACAUUUGAAGAAGAUGUCUUGAUAUCCAUGAUAUCAUGGUUAUAAAUUCUGAGCCAUUGGUCUCAUUGCUGAAGACCUGUCAAGGCUAUAAACUUGAUCUGACUGUUAUAAAUUCUGAGCCUUUGGUCUCAUUGCUGAAGACCUGUCGAGGCUAAAAACUUGAUCUGAAUGUUAUAAAUUCUGAGCCAUUGGUCUUAUUGGAGAAGACCGGUUAAGGCCAACUUGAUCUGACUGUUAUGAAUUCUAAGCCAUUGAUCUCAUAGCUGAAGACCUGUCAAGGCUAACUUGAUCUGACUGUUAUAGAAUAUGAGCUAUUUGUCUCAUUGAUGAAUAAUAGUAAUUCUGCUUACUGGCAAUCUGAACAUUAACACCAUAUUUUGUUAAUUUGUGGUAAGUAGAGAACUCAUGCCAAAAGAGUCAAACAAAUAGUAAGAAUCCACCCAUAAGCUCUCCUUCCUUUGAAACCCUAUUACCGCCUUGAUUUUAUACAUAGUGUUAUGUCACCGGAACAAUUAAUAUCACUGUAUUGAGAGGAGUAUAGAGUUUAAUUUAAAAAAUCUAUAAACUUUAUUUAUACUUUUGAAAGGUGUUCAUGUUUAAUAUUAAAAUGUACCAUGUCUAAAAACAAUAUAAUUUAUAAAAUCAUAGAUGUCAUCUAGUAACAAAGUUAUGUCCCUACCCCAACACCUUAAAUGUUUUUAGAAAACUCUGCAUAUCUUUUUUUUAUCGAAUCAAACAAAGCAAAUUAUUAAGAAAUGAAUGUAUUAUAUCUGAGGAUAAUAGCAGUAUGAAUUAUUUACACAACUCGUCAGUAAUGCAUAAAGUAAUAUACUGCCUAAUUGGUCCUUGACCAGUAUAAAGGGGAAAUUGUAUUGAUAAGUUAUACUUAAUUUACCUUUAAGUAUAAAUGUUUUUAGCUUUUUGCUGUGGUGUAUUUGUGGUCGGCUUCAUGGUUCACUUGUCUGGGUCCAAAGUUCACAUGCAUGCUAACUUCCUGUCUAUCCUAUCUAUAAGUACAUUGUACCUUUGUUAUUGAUUUGUAGGUAGAGAAUUAGGGGUAUCUAUUAAUUAGGUUAGAUAAAACCUUUCAAUUUAUCAGUACUUACCAAUAAACAACCAGAAGGCCAUUUAAGGCCAAAUUUAUAGAUUUAUUGUCUGGUUAAUGAUAUGAUAAAAUCUUUGACUGUUUUAAAGGUUAUAUAUGCAUCAAACUAUCCCAGAUUCUAACAUACAUGUACAUGACAUAUAAUCAUUUGCUGUAAUUAGUUGGACACAUUUAGAUGGUAUUACAGCAAUAUUUCUGUCUACAUGAUGUAAUUUUGUUGCUCAUAAUUUCUAGACAAUUAUUGUAAACAAUUUUCACUAGAACUUUUGAAAGUCUCCUUAUAUUAAAGGGGAUAGCAUGAUGUUUACUGUUUCUAUCUCUCUUUUUGUGUGAAAGUCUAUAUAUUUGUUAGUUAUAUAAGUUCUGUCAAUUAAUGAUAACCUAUUUCUGAUGGUAGAUAAAACAUUAACAAAGUCCAUUCAUACACUUGUAUAUAUUGGGUCAGGUGAUACUAUUGGGGAUGAAAGUCUUGUUGAUUUUGACCCUAUUUCGAUGGUAGGUGACAAUGCCAUAUAUAAAUAUUCAAUUCUAUUAUUGGACACAUUUGAUUAAAAAUCAUAAAGGAUCUGAAUCUCAGUGACAACAUGUCUCUGUAUAUUGAUCUGUCCUUUUUUAUAACAUUCACCAACCAGCUAAUUUCAUAGAGAGUAGAAUGCCUUUUACUGGUAAUACUGGAGCGAAAUUUGGUCUGUUCUGAUUUGAAAUAAAUUACUAAAUUAUUACUAAUAAUUUAAAGUGGUAGCAACUAGUUAUGAAAGGAUUAUUAUCUAAAAAAAAAAUGUAUUUCUAUUUGCAUUUUGAUGCAAAAAAAAUCAUGAAUAAAUUAAUCAGAAUUUGUUUUCAAAAUGUCAUGAACAUUUUAUUGAUACAGGUUAUUAAAUUCAGGUCUGGUGGAUAAGACAUUUAUGAUUCACCUGUUAUGCCCCUAUAAUACUUUUUUAGGUGUAAUGCCACCAUUGGUUUUCCCCUAUUAGUCUUUGUUGAAUUUUCACUUUAAAAAAAACUUGGCAUAAGUACUAUUUUAUCCUGUCAAUACUACAGACAAAACUUCACAUAACAUUUCAUUGCACAGGCAGCCAACUUAUCAAAUUUUCACCCCUUUCUUUCCGAUUUAUAAGCUUUAGUAACCAUGUAACACCAUGAACUUUCAAAAAUAUUUUAAAGAAAUACCAAAUAAAAAAAAAAAGAAUGGUGCUUUGAAACACCCAAGAUAUAUAUUUGUUUAUGACUCAGAAAUGUUUUACUGCAAUGAAAUCUAGUACGUAUUAAUUUCUUCUACUGUCAAAUUUAAGGGAACAAAUUUCUACCCUUUUUCUGUAUGCAACGGGAUGUGAUGUACUAUAAUUUGGUAGUAUAUAACACCUUUUGCUGUAGCAUAAAGGCAAACAUAUUUAAAUGUUAACUUUGGACUGAGUUCUCUGUUAUCACUAGGUAAUUUAAUUUUAGUUCUGUAUUUAUCAAACCAUUAAUUCUUGUUUCUACAGUUUGAUAAAUGUUUUUAGACUGGUUGCUUAUUGUUGUAUACUGUGAGGUUAAGGUUACGUGUAGUACAUUUAUAUAUGGAAGAGGUUUCACCUUAUACAGGUGGCUGUUUGUUUUAGUUAUCUUUACAUUGUAUGGUGUGAAGUGAAAGAAAACAUGAAUCAUUUUAAGUUCAAGAUCAAGGUCAUAAAAUGGUAUGACUGUAGUAUUAGUAACCUUGAGUAUCAUUGGCCUUGCAUGUACAUGCGACCUUUAUAAAGCUUCAGCGUACUUUUGAUUGUAACAUAUUGAUCAUAUACACGUAACAACAUAGGGAUGUUAAUAAUUUUCUAAAGAAAUUUGGCAAUGGUUUGUAUAGUUUAAGCAUAUAGGGAAAAUUUUAAGUCUUUUAAUAAUUAUUUUUAUAAGUUAAGAGAUUUUUAUUGGUUUACAUUCAAUAAUGAAUUUUUGUAAAAAAAGAAAACUGCAGUCAGCUGAUAUUUUCUUCCUUCUAAUGUCCAUUUAAACAUUAGCUAUAUGUAUACGUAUCUAUUAAACUACCUACUAUUAAAAUUUAAAAAGGUAUAAACAUGUAAAUACCACCAAUUUAGGAUUAUAAGAUUUAAACUUAACAAGGAGACAAAUCUAUGGUAAUAAGAUUUAUACAAAUGUAUAUACAUGUACAUGUAGAUGAGUAUUUAUUUACCAGGUAAUCAAUUUAUAAAUAAUAUAUACUUUAAAUCUGUUAAAUGUUUUAAAGUUUUUAAUUACUUUACAUAAAUAUUUACAUAGAUAAUCCAGGAUUAUUGGAAUACAGUAAAUUUAUAGUUUGACAAUUUUCUUACAACAUGACAUGAUGUAGUAAUAAGAUUAAGUACAACUUUACAUCUAAAUAACUGGAACAAGGAUAUUACCUUGACAUUUGUCCUUUUUUAUUUCAGAAGAUAACUGGACGGGACAUGGACUAUUUGAAAUUAGCUGGAGCAGGGGCCAUAACUCUAAGUGCUGUUUCCACAGCAACAUAUUUAUAUCUGACACAGAAUCCAAAUCCUGUUCCUUCAGCUGUAGACCUGAACAACCAAACCAUAAUAAUCAAGGUACGAAUAAAAUUCUUCUGAAUAUCAGGUGGCUACCAAAUGUCAGUCUUCCAUAACUUCAUAUUUUCCUCUGAUGAUAUUGGCCAAAUAUAUUAGCUUUAUUGAUGCUCAUAUCCAAAUUUA
rnacentral:lncRNA from 1 species